rnacentral:rRNA from 1 species
GGGGAAUCUUCCGCAAUGGGCGCAAGCCUGACCCAGCCAUGCCGCGUGUGCGAAGAAGGCUCUAGGGUUGUAAAGCACUUUCAGUGGUGAAGAAAAGCCAGGGGUUAAUACCCCCGGGUCUUGACGUUAGCCACAGAAGAAGCACCGGCUAACUCCGUGCCAGCAGCCGCGGUAAUACGGAGGGUGCGAACGUUAAUCAGAAUUACUGGGCGUAAAGGGUGUGUAGGCGGCACGGCAAGUCUCAUGUGGAAUCUCCCGGCUCAACUGGGAGGGGUCAUGGGAAACUGCCGAGCUUGAGGGCAGCAGAGGAAAGCGGAAUUCCGGGAGUAGUGGUGAAAUGCGUAGAUACCCGGAGGAACACCAGAGGCGAAGGCGGCUUUCUGGGCUGUGCCUGACGCUGAGACACGAAAGCGUGGGGAGCAAACCGGAUUAGAUACCCGGGUAGUCCACGCCCUAAACGAUGGAUACUAGAUAUGGGGGGUAUCGACCCCUCCCGUGUCGGAGUUAACGCGAUAAGUAUCCCGCCUGGGGAGUACGGCCGCAAGGCUAAAACUCAAAGGAAUUGACGGGUCCCCGCACAAGCGGCGGAGCGUGUGGUUUAAUUCGAUGAUAAGCGAAGAACCUUACCUGGGCUUGACAUGCGUCUGACGGUUCGCGAAAGCGGGCUUUCCUUCGGGACAGGCGCACAGAUGUUGCAUGGCUGUCGUCAGCUCGUGCCGUGAGGUGUUGGGUUAAGUCCCGCAACGAGCGCAACCCUCGUCGUUAGUUACUAUGUCUAGCGAGACUGCUCCUAAAAGGGGAGAGGAAGGUGGGGACGACGUCAAGUCGGCACGGCUCUUACGCUCAGGGCUACACACACGCUACAAUGGUCGGAACAGAGGGUCGCGAGGGCGCGAGCCGGAGCUAAUCCCAAAAAUCCGGCCUCAGUUGGAAUUGCAGGCUGCAACUCGCCUGCAUGAACGCGGAGUCGCUAGUAAUCGCAGGUCAGCACACUGCGGUGAAUACGUUCCCGGGGAUUGUACACACCGCCCGU